rnacentral:lncRNA from 1 species
UUUUUUUUUUUUUUGCUUUUUAGGGCUGCACCUACGACAUAGGGAGGUUCCCAGGAGUGGCCCAAGAAAUGGCAAAAAGACAAAAAAAAGAAAAAAGAAAAACAGAAAAUGUUCCGACAAGAGCUUUCUAAAUAACAGUGCACUUACUAAUUGGAUAUAAGCGUCUCCACAUUUCUUUGGAGAGUCUGCUAUGGGCAUGGUUAGCACCUUCUUCUUUCUGCUGGAUCUGCUUUCAGGCCAGGUGUACAGGGAGCCUUAAAACUGUUCCUAACACAGAUCUAUACUAUUUUUAAACACCCAUCUCGAAGCAAAAAAGUUGGAGGGGAGUUAACAUUGGGGAAAAAAAACCCCAAGGGACUAGCCAUAAUUCAGUGAGAGUCUGGCUGAAAAGUUGCAUCCCAGGUCAAGGUCAUGGCUCCUAGAAAGAACUGAAAAGCCCAGGGGCUUCAGAGUCAAUGGUUUGGCACUUAUGAGUGUUCCAGGUCAAGCUUAGUGUUUACAUGGUUCAUCAAUUUGUUUUUCAAGAGCUGCCCCAAAGUCAGCAGGGAUAAUCAAUUCUAACCACUGGGCAAUCAAAUAGUCAGCAGACAUCCCAUGAGGGUGCGAAGGAAGAAGGCAAGACAUACCAUUUGAUUGUCCUAAUCCUUUAAGAACCAGUCAUGACAGAACCAAUCAUUCUGAUCUCCCGCUGCUGCCUAUUAGCACUCAACCAUUAACUGACUCAACAUGUGUUCCCCUCAUUUCCAAAAUAUUUUUAUAGUCACAACUGAAAAGCAAUCUCUUAGGCUCAUUAAGUGCUGGGAUGGGAACUGUAACGCAAGUACAUCAGCAGAAGGACAUAUACCUUUUCCAAGUGGGUGGGUCAGGCAAAGAACAAAAUAGGAGGGCUCCUUAAGUCACAGACCCAGAUUUCCAGGCUGGUGGAAAGUUUUCAGGGACUACAAAGAGAGAAAGAGAAAUGAUAGUUGGACAGUGUAAAACUAUGUUAGGAAAGAUGUGGCUGUCAGUUGCCUAAAACAGAUCACCAAACUAGCACAGAGAAAACAUGGAGCAGGAAUGAGACUUGCAUGAUCCAAAUAGCUUCUUCAAGUCUCCCUCUGCUACAAACAGACCAUCUGAUAAAUUCUUGAUCUGUUGGGACAUUUUUGUCUCAGGAUAUAGAGGAAACAAGGAAAUCAGCUGCCACACUGGACUCAAGUCUGGGAACCAGAAGCAAGCAGGGAUAUGAAAGGGUGGAGUCCUGGAGAAUUAAGACAGUGUUUCACUUUCAUCCUUGUUGACUUCACAUACACACACACACACACACACACACACACACACACACACACACACACACACACAGAUAUCCAAAAGUUUAUCAAAAAGCUGCAUACAAUGAAUGAUGUCUGUAAUUUGCUUCAAAAUUAUCUCAUAACAGCAGGAAGUGGGUGGAGGGUGGUAGGUGCAGGUACAGAAGAAAACAGGAUUGUCUUUGAGUUGAUCAUUGUUGAAACUAGGUGACUAAUCCUCUGGGGUUCACGACACUACUCUCUCUAUUUGUAUAUGUUUGACAAUACCCAUAAUAGUAAGUAAAACAAAACAAUAUAUGAUAUUCCAAAGCAAAAAUAAAACCCCUAAAAGGAAGAAUAACCUAAAGAUAUGAAAAGCUUUCAAAAAAACAGCUGGAGUUCCUGUUGUGGCUCAGCGGGUUAAGAAUCUGACUAGUAUCCAUGAGGAUGCCAGUCUGAUCCCUGGCCUCACUCAGUGGCUUAAAGAAUCUGGCAUUGUCGCAGCUGCAGCAUAGGUCACAGAUGCGGCUCCAAUCUAGGGUUGCUGAGGCUGUGGCCUGCAGCUGCAGCCCCAGUUCAACCCCCUAGCCCGGGAACUUCCACAUGCCAGAGGUGCAGCCCUAAAAAAGGAAAAAAAAAAAAAAGAGAGAGAGAGAGAGAGAGAGAGAGAGAAACACUCAGAGAUCCCUGAUGCACAGUGGGUUAAGGAUCUGGCACUGUCACUGAAGCAGCUCAUGUCGCCACUGUGGCACAGGUUCAAUUCCUGGCCUGGGAACUUCUACAUGCUGUGGGUGCCAACCCCCCCACCCCGAAAAAGAAACAGUCUAUUAACAGAGGCGAAAACAAUCCCAUUUCGGGAGAAAGCAUGUUUUUGGAGUGUGGGGUGGGGAGAUAGUAUCAAAAACUGUGUGACUCAACUAGGAGCCACUUGGAAAUGCAUGGAAGCAUUUUUACUUGUUCUAAUGCUGGGUGUGGUGCUGGUUCUCAGGGGUGGAAGGCCAGGGAUGCCAAAAGUCCUUUAACCUGAGGACCACAGAAUUGUUCCCCUAAUGCCAGUAGUGCCCCCACUGAACAGAACUGAUGAAACCAAAGUGACAAAGUGGACACCAAGGAACUCUUCUAUUAACCUGAUCUGAAAAGCACAUGGCCCACAAAUGAGAAGGAUAAAUAGUAAGGGAUGAAUGGGUUUGAUCCUUGGCCUCACUCAACAGGUUGGGGAUCCACCGAUGCUAUGAGCUGUAGUGUAAGUCACAGAUGUGCUCGGAUUGGAUCCCGAAUUGCUGUGGCUCUGGCGUAAGCCAGCAGCUACAGCUCUGAUUCAACCUCUAGCCUGGGAACUUCCAUAUGCUGCCGGUUCGGCCCUAAAAACCAAAAAGAAAAAGAAAAAAAAAAUCCAAUUUUCUCUGGCACUCACGAGCCACAUGCCCAGAGUUUGUCUCCUCCCCCCAUUUUCAGACUUAGAUGGAAUACUCCCUACAGGACAUAAGAUCUGGCAUCUCAAAUGGCUACUAGCCACCUAGGAGUGUGGAGGAGUUAAUGCUCUGAGGGUAGCAUUUGACUAAUGGGAGAUGGGAGAAAGCCAAGCAGAUAAAUUUCCCCUUCUUCCAUCCCUUCCCGGAAUUGGUGCAAGACACCAUUUCUCCAGUUCAGCCAAUGAGAAGACCUCCAAGUAGCCAGUGGACACACCUUCUAUGCCUCUUCUAGGUUUGUCAUGAACGAGGCUUAAUCUGCUAUCACCUUGUGUUACCUCCCGUUUUUCCUCACCUCACAUCCCUUUUCUUAUUCUCAAUGCCCUGGGUUUGCACCACCCAAAUAAAAAAGAUCAGUUCUUAAAAAAAUAAAAUAAAAUAAAAUAAAAAUAAAGACCCAUAUAGAAUUGUAAGAAAAGGUUCAAGAAAGUUAAGGAUUGAACAAGAGGACAUUUGCCAAGAUUCAAAAGUCGACAUCAUAUUGAGGUAGAAUAAGAAUAUAAUCUUUGCAGGUUUCGGAAAGAGGGCUGAGCUUCCUAUAAUCCAGAAAAGGAAGCAUCACCAAGAACUUAGGCCCACAACCCAAGGAGGCUGUGCUUGCACCACUCCUUCUGGAAGACUCAACCCUUGCCUCAGGAUCUGGGAGGCAUCCUGUUCCCAUUCAGGAAAAUCUACUAAAAGGCAAGCCCGUGGCUCCAGCAGUGGGUGAACAAGCCUGACCUCUGGAAACAAAGUUCCUGGUCUGGCCUCUCACACUGUGGAUCACGUCCUCAUUUCAAAGAACUCCUGGUCUGAUUUGGAGAAACAAGACACACUGAAACAUAAUUUUGAAUGUCGGAGUUCCCAUCUUGGCUCAGUGGUUAAUGAACCUGACUAGUAUCCAUGAGGACGCGGGUUCAAUCCCUGGCCUUGCUCAGUGGGUUAAGGAUCUGGUGUUGCCAUGAGCUGUGGUGUAGGUCGUAGACGCGGCUGACAUGCUGAGUUGCUGUGGCUGUGGUGUAGGCUGGCAGCUACAGCUCCAAUUCAAUCCCUAGCCUGGGAACCUCCAUAUGCCUCAGGCAUAGCCCUAAAAAGACAAAAGACAAAAGACAAAAAAAAAUUCUGAGUGUCAAAAAACAUCAUGUGCUAUCACUUACAUGUGGAAUCUAAAAAAAAAGAUGCAAAUGAACUUAUUUGCAGAACAGAAACAGAUUCACUGACUUUGAAAAAGUAAUGGUUACCCAAGGGGACAGGUUGCGGAGAGAGGGGGACCUGGAGGUUUGAGAUGGAAAUGUUGUAAAAUUGGGUUGUGAUGAUGGUUGUACAAUUAUAACUUUUAAAAAUGAAAAAAAACAAAAAACAAAAAACUCACCAUAUCAGCAGGUUAAGGACCCGUCAUUGUCUGUGGGUUUGAUCACUGGCCUUGCUCAGAGAGUUAAGGACCCAGUGUGGCCAUAAGCUGAGGCAUAAGUCACAGAUGCAGCUCUGAUUCAACCCCUGGCCUGGGAACUUCCAUAUGCUGCAGAUGUGGCUGUAAAAAGAAAAAACAAAACAAAAACAAAAAACCCCAACCAAACAAAUUAGAUUAAGUCUUAAAUGAGUUGCCUAGAUGGUUCACCACAAGGAAGGGUAUAGCCGUGGCUGGAGUCAGCAGGGAGUGAAACAAAGGGGGUGUAAUCCUGAUCUUAAAAGAGGGGCUAGUUUUGAAUAAGCAUUAAAAAAAAGAGAGCAUGCAAUUGCAGAAAAGUGCAGAAUCACAAGGGGAGCAGGGAAGAAAACUUAAAAAGGCCUCAUCCUUGGACCAUGUCUUGACCUAGAACCUAGGCACCCUAGCAACGUGCCUGGCGGGCAUGUGUGUGAACUCUGGCCUUCCUGUCUCGCUCAGCCCUGAGCUCUCUCUGGGCUCCGGAAUUCCGUGGUGCACCAGCCUCUGACUGCUGAGGCCCCUGAGUUUUUCCUGUUCUCUGGCCUCAGAUCUCUCAGAUCUCUUUUGGCCAGUUGCCACAGUGCCUCGGCCUGAUACAAGGAAGUGCCACUGGUCGCCCGUGGAUAAACGGCUCAGAUACCAUCCCAAGAAAGGGAAGGAGCACAGCGUUUUACCUGAGAGGGAACUGCAAUCAUAAUCUUUGGGUGUUUCAUGUAGUCAAAUCCAGAAGAAAAUCUGUCCCCAAAUGCUCUCUUUUCCUCUCUAGGCUUCAAUGUGUACCUUUUUGGUUGUUCAUUUUUUUUAUUUUCUAAAAAUCAGUACCAAACCUGACAGAGAAAUUCACUUAACUGCAUCAUGAAUGAUAGACUGGAACAUCUGAAUAAUAUUGACUAAAACAGGGGUAACAGAUGAUAUCUGGCAUCGGCUUCGAAUGCAUUGAUCUUGUGUUUUCCAGAGCAAGAUGGCAGAAUAGGAAGAUCCUGAGCUCACCUGCCCCUGACGGACGCACCAAACCUACAACUACAUAAAGAACGACUGUCAUGAAAAUAACUUGAAGACUAGCAGAAACAACUUUCUACAACUAAAGACAUACAGAAAAAGCCAAUGAUUUAGGUAUGAGGGGCAGAGAUGCGGUCUAGUCAGAAGCCACACCCCCAGGUGGGAGGGGUAUCGCAACUGAGGAAGUCCCCCAGCAGGAGGGGACUUGCCCUGGGAAGAUGAGCCCCCAUAACACCAGGCUUUGAACACCAGAGAGCUUCUGUCUGGAAGAGCUGGAGGCCAGUGGGAAAUUGAGACCCUGCUCUUGAAGGGCUGGCACACGAACUCACAAACUCACUUGCUCUGAGUCCCAGCGCAGAGGUAGCAGCUUGGAAAGUUCCUGGGUCAGAUGAGAAAGUGGUUGAUUGACUAGUUUAGGGUAUGUGCUAGAUAGGAGGAGGUCUGGAAGGAACUUUCUCUGGGUUCCAAGUGCUGGCAGGAGCCAUUUAAAAAAUUCCCCUUCCAGAGUUCCCAUUGUGGCUCAGUGAUAACAAGCCAGACUAAUAUCUAUGAGGAUGCAGGUUUGAUUCCUGGCCUUGCUGAGUGGGUUCAGGAACCAGCAUUGCCGUGAGUUGGUCACAGACAAGGCUCGAAUCUGGCGUUGCUGUGGCUGUGGCUGUAGGCUGGCAGUUGCAGCUCCGAUUUGACCCCUAGCCUGGGAACUUCCAUACACCACACCUGCAGCCCUAAAAAGACAAAAAUAAAUUAAUUAAUUAAAUAAUGAAUUAAAAAUUCUCCUUCCACCUAGCUGGCCUGGUGCUGGCGGGUGCCAUAUCUGUCACUACCCAUCAAACUAGCUAACAUCGUGCAUCCAGUCCUGGUGUUCCCCUGGGGACCAGCCCUGCCCAACCUGCCCAGCCUUGCUGGCCCCUCCAAAGUGGCUUCCACCCUGUCCCACCUAGCAGGCUGCCUGGAUGGCCCCACCGCCUGCUCCAGGGAGGGGCUACUGAUCUGGGGGUCUGCCCUGCACACCAAUACACCUGACAGUCACAGCCAGGCCUUGCAACACUGGGGGCUGGGCCUGCAUUGCACCACUCCUCCCACAGUUGUGAUAGGAUUUCUUCGCCAGCACAGCUGGGAAGCAGCCCAGCCCACCAGUGCACCUGCAGCAAUUACGGCCCAACCACAACAGGGGGGCACACACAGUCCACACAGGGGAUACCACAGGGGAACAUCUGGCUCUGAUGCCCAGGGGAUGUAGAGCCAGAGGGCCCCACAGUAUACCUUCUACCUAAGACCACUCUUUCAAGACCUGGAGAUGUAGCUAAUAAACUUAAUACAUAGAAAAAAAAACCACAGAGAGUUAGGUAAAAGAGUUUGAAGACAAAGGGAUACCUUCUAAACAAAAGAACAAGUUGAAACUUCAGAAAAAAAAUCACUAAAUGCAACAUAGAUAAGCAACUUAGAUAAAAAUUUGUUCAAAGAAAUAGCCAUAAAGAUGCUCACCAAACUCGGGAUAAGAAUAGAUGAACUCAGUGAGAACUUGAACAAAGAUAGAAAAUAGAGGAGUUCCCACUGUGGCACAGCGGGAUUAGCAGCGUCUUGGGCGUGCUGGGAUGCUGGUUCAAUCCCCAGCCCAGCACAGUGGAUUAAGGAUCUGGUGUGGCCACAGCUAUGGCUUAGGUCACAACUGCAGUUUGGAUCUGAUCCCUGGUCUGGGAACUCUGUAUACCGUGGGGUGGCCAAAAAAAGAAAAAAAAAA